UACAGAGGUCCCAAGCGUUGUUCGGAUUCACUGGGCGUAAAGGGUGCGCAGGUGGGUUGGCAAGUUCGAUGUGAAAGCCCCGGGCUUAACCCGGGAAUGGCAUUGGAUACUGCUGAUCUGGAGGAUCGGAGGGGGGACUGGAAUUCUUGGUGUAGCAGUGAAAUGCGUAGAUAUCAAGAGGAACACCGGUGGCGAAGGCGAGUCCCUGGACGAUACCUGACACUGAGGCACGAAAGCCAAGGGAGCAAACAGG
rnacentral:rRNA from 1 species